rnacentral:rRNA from 1 species
CCUACGGGUGGCAGCAGUGGGGAAUAUUGGGCAAUGGGCGCAAGCCUGACCCAGCAACGCCGCGUGAAGGAAGAAGGCUUUCGGGUUGUAAACUUCUUUUCUCAGGGACGAAGCAAGUGACGGUACCUGAGGAAUAAGCCACGGCUAACUACGUGCCAGCAGCCGCGGGAAUACGUAGGUGGCAAGCGUUAUCCGGAUUUACUGGGUGUAAAGGGCGGGUAGGCGGGAAAGCAAGUCAGCGGUGAAAACCAUGGGCUCAACCUGUGGCCCGCAGUUGAAACUGUUUUUCGUGAGUACUGGAGAGGCAGACGGAAUGCCUAGUGUAGCGGUGAAAUGCGUAGAUAUUAGGAGGAACACCAGUGGCGAAGGCGGUCUGCUGGACAGCAACUGACGCUGAGGCGCGAAAGCGUGGGGAGCAAACAGGAUUAGAUACCCCAGUAGUC